GGCCCAGAUUGUUUCCCAGAAGCGUCCCUCCGCCUUUCUCCUCCUGGCGCAGGCACGGCGGCGGGAGAACCGAAGGUACCCCGUAACGGGAGUCAACAGUGUGGCACAGGCAAGAGGUGUCCAUUUUACCACCUGCUGUCAACUGAAAAUGACAGUUCCCGCGCCUCAAGUCACAACCAAUCACGGCUCAGCUUGUGAACAUCACAUGACCAAACUCCGACAACAGUUGGCUGCACUGAUGUGUUGGCAGUGACCAGCCACAACCAGCAGGUGGCGUUGAGUGUCACAGAACGGAUGUUGACGUUUGGAAGAUUGUGGCAGUCACUCAAACGUGGACUCGUAAACAUGAGAAAUGCUGCAUUGUGGAGGAAAAAACGGCAACGCUGCAAUUGAGCGCUCUGCGGAUGUCAAGGUUGGAGCUUUACUAUACAAAGUUGCCUGCAUGGCAUAGCUCUUUGUGGGCUUGAUUGAACAGGAGAGCAAACUUUUCAAUAUGAUCCUCAAAUGCUCUCAGUCAAAAUGGCUCGCUGUGCAACUUCAGUGACAUCCGUGGGAAAAUGAUGGUGCCAUCAAAGUUUGAGGACUAAAAGACAAAUCCUGAAGAACAACAACAAAUGCACAGUUGGAGAUGACUACAAUAAAUCCCACUGGGAGUUUAUGAUCUUAUUGUGC